AUUGAACGCUGGCGGCAGGCCUAACACAUGCAAGUCGGGCGAGCGGCGGACGGGUGAGUAAUGUAUGGGGAUCUGCCUGAUGGAGGGGGAUAACUACUGGAAACGGUAGCUAAUACCGCAUACCAUCAGAUGAACCCAUAUGGGAUUAGCUAGUAGGUGUGGUAACGGCGUUCCGAGGCGACGAUCCCUAAGUGGUCUGAGAGGAUGAUCAGCCACACUGGUGCUGAGACACGGUCAGCAAUCCUACGGGCUGAACCAGUGGGGUACAUGGGACAGUAGGCACAAACCUGAUGCAGCCACUCAGCGUGUUUUAAGAUGGCCUGCGGGUUGUAUAGUACUUUCAGUCUGGGCGCGUUACCGACAGACAAAGCGCCGGCUAACUCCGUGCCAGCAGCCGCGGUAAUAC
rnacentral:rRNA from 1 species